rnacentral:lncRNA from 1 species
CCUCGGCAUCCCAGUCACAAAACUUGGAGGGCACACUCGAGAUUGAAACAUGCCUUUGAAAAGUUCAAUGAAUCUCAAAGAUCUAGGAGUUUCAAAACCAAUUAAAACCUAAUAAUACAUUUCGUUUAUCUUGGUGGAAAUUGGUGAAUCGUCAUUCACCUACCUUCAAAUAUUUUAUAGCUUGGAUUACGGCAUACCUCUUCUAAGUUAUAAAAUAGUUUGUUGGGUCCUAGCCUUAAUUUUUCAUAUUUGUUACGUCAUUCACCUACCUUCAAAUAACAACUUUUCAAGAACUUGUGGGUUAGGGAGAAUAAUUGGAGGAGGUGAAAGAAGUAUGAUAUCCAUGGGACAUCAUCUUCAUUUAGGAAACCUUGUUUCAAGAGAUUUGGGAAGAUCAUAGGUGUCUACUACAGACAUCUUUUGGGAGAUAUUCAAGAUAGUUGAUUUAAAGUCCUUAAUAUGACACCCAAUAUAAAUAAUUAAGGCUAGGACCCAACAAACUAUUUUAUAACUUAGAAGAGGGAUGCCGUAAUCCAAGCUAUAAAAUAUUUGAAGGUAGGUGAAUGACGAUUCACCAAUUUCCACCAAGAUAAAUGAAAUGUAUUAUUAGGUUUUAAUUGGUUUUGAAACUCCUAGAUCUUUGAGAUUCAUUGAACUUUUCAAAGGCAUGUUUCAAUCUCGAGUGUGCCCUUCAGGUUUUGUGACUGGGAUGCCGAGGAUCACAAAACAAGGUGUGAAGUAACCAUGCAAAUCACUUGGUACCCUUAAUAAAUUACCCCUCAAUCGAUGUGCCGGUUAACCACACACGCUCCAUCGAUACUAUGAUAAAUAUUAAGUCACCCUUUACCUACCUUGUUAAGUCCAAGUUAGUGUGCCGGUUAACCACACACGCUCCACUAACGACUUAGACAAAGUGUAAAGUGUAAUUUCAUGGAUUAGCACCUUAUUCACAUUUUUCCUAAGUAACUAAGAUUGGGUAUUAUUAAGAGUUUAGUUACUUAGUAUUAUCAUUAAUACUUUUAAUGAAGGGAGAAUUCUAGUCCUGUCAAACCCGUUCGGCUAACGACCCUCCACCAGUCAAGCAAGCGGUGGGUGAGAGUGGACACCCAUUAAGUUGCCAUUUUAUAGGCAACAACCUUAUACCCACCUUAUAGACCGGCUUCGUGAAUGAGGCGUACUAGCGGUAAGACUGACUUUACUCUUAUACAUAUAUAUAUUAUUAACUUAUAAUAUUAUAAAGUAUAAGGGUUGAAUUUUAACUUUUAAAAUUCUAAGGGCUAACUUGGAAUUAAAGUAUUCAUACUUGAAAACUUUUCAAAUUCCAAAACUUGAGGGCAAGUUUUGAAACUAUUCAAAACUAAUUAAUUCCAUAACUUAUGUGUUUAAAGUAGUUUUAAUCCAAAAACUCUUCAAGUUCCAUAACUUGAGGACAAGUUAUGGAAGACUUUAAACUAAUAAAAGAACUAACUUUUUCUUUAUUUUAUAACUUAUGGAUUUAAUUAUGGUUACAUAUUUUUCUUUAAUGAAGUGACUCUUGAACUUCCAUAACUUGAGGACAAGUUAUGGAGUCAUAAAAAUUAUUCAAUGACACAAGACUCUUCAUUUUGUAACCAUUGCCAACUCUUAUGAAUUUUAUGAGUCUUUAAUGUGACUCUUCAUGUAACUUGAGGACAAGUUACACAAACACAUUUUAUACUCAACUCUUAGAUUAAAAUGGAUUGAAAACAACUAUUUCACUCAACAUUUCUAUUAAUCUAAGCAACUCAUAAGAACAAGAUAAUUCAAAUCAAACUUUUUCAUGUAAUUAGUCUAAACCUUAAACUAAUACAAAACAUGAAUCUAUUGACAAUUAUCUUUGAAAAUGGAUUAGCAUGAACAUUACCACAUCAAAAACAAGUUUAUAAGUUCAAAAACAACUUAGGGUAAUGUUCCUAGUCCAUUUCUAGCCAAAAAACUCGAAAAUAUGCUGUCUGGGGGUCCAACUCGUCGAGUGCAUGAACAAACUCGGCGAGUUGGAUCGAAUUCAUCACUUUUUAGGCAUGGACUCGUCGAGUCUCCUGAUGGACUCGCCGAGUCUGAUGGCCAGACAGCACCAGAUUCGUUUUUUCAGCUUCUAUUGCAGGUAUAACAAGAAAACAAGCCUAGGCUCUGAUACCACUGUUGGGUUUUGAGCAUUCUAACACUCCUAAGUGUACAUGCAACCCUAAAUACCUUGGAUCUAUGUUUUCUCUAUUAUACAUGCAAAUAAGAACUUCCAAGGUAUUAUCCUAAUCUAGCAUACAAAACAAUAACUAUAGCAAGAUAGAAUACAUACCUCUUUGGUGUAGAAUGUCUUCAUGAAGCUUGAGUGCCUAGUGCCCCAAGUGUGACACCUCAAAUGGAAUCACAAUCAUCAAAACACUUAGAAUAACUUGAGAGAAUUCUUACACUUCAUGAAAUCGGCUAGCCCUUUCUAGAAUACUACUAGUGACUCUAGUGGCCGAUUUUUCCUCAAUAAUAAGAUGCUUAUAUAGUUAUACAAUUAGGGUAAACUCUUAAUUGUCAUGGCUUUCCAUUUCCUUGGAUCCAUGGGUACAAAUACACCAUGGAGCAUCCAUGGACCAUCCUAUGGGUUUUAGCCCAACUUGAUUAUCCAUGGAGCAUUAGCCCACUAUACAAGUAUGGAUGAUUUACACAAUCAACCCAUAUAUUUAAUUAGUCUUCUUUUGAUCACUUAAUUAAUCCUAGAUUAAUUCUUGAUCAAUACUAAUUAAAUAAUCUUAUUAUUCUUAUUAUUAAUAUACUAGAACUUAUAAUAUAUUAAUAACCAUAAGUGUCUUAUUUCUCUCAUUCAAGUGCAUGAUGGUAUGCAACCCAAAUGGACCAUGCCGGGUCGGGUCAAGUCUUACCAAAUAUAGUUAUGGACUUAGACAUUAAUCCAACAGUCUCCCACUUGGAUAAGUCUAAAACUAUUAUUGCGUAUGACUUCAGGAACCAACUGGCAAUCGUAGCUCUCAAAAGCUUCUGUCGAACUCUGACCUUGUAGAUGAACUCUGACCUUUGUCAAUGACUUGUCCAUUAGAUAAGGGAUCAUAUAUUCCUCCAUUCUAGAUAUCAUAUGGACUGAGACAUGGAUUAUAAUCAUUCUCUCUGUCCAUUUGUUGUUUCCCGAUUUCCGAUUUAUGACGACUGACUAAUUGAACAAAUCAAAUCAGUCCUGGCCCGGCCGAGCACUUCCAUUUGUCAUCAUCAAAUCAUCGAGGGGCCCACAGAUAUCGCUUUUAUCCCGAAGGUAAAAGGAAUGGAUAAACUUCGACUCAUAUGGCUUGUUCUACUACUUGUUGAAUCAUACACAAAGGCACGUUUUAUAGCACCGAGUUACCAAAUGCGUUUUCGUGCAAUCAAUGUACUAUCAACUCAUAGUAACAACUCAUAUCUCUAGGUUUGAAGAAUAUAAGAUAUUAUCGUCUCAUGAUCACUCGUGAUAAAAUCCAUGAAGUGAUUCCAAUGAGCGCGGGUUGAAUCCAAUACUCAGAACUUAUGAGCACUCAUGAGUGUUGUAGCCCUUUGUCCAACACCUUAGACCUCUACAAGCCAACCCAUGACAGUCUUAAUUCAUAUCUACUUCCAACAUAUGACCGACUGUGGAUGGUUUGAAUAACUUAGUCAUUCCGGAAGAAUAACCCAGUUUAUUCGGGAAGUCAAAACAUGCAAAAUGAAACACAAUAAUAAUUGAAUCCAAUAUGGUAUCAACCCUUUGAACAUAAAUAAAACACCUUUUAUUUAUCACCAUAUGAUUACACAUUAUUCAUUGUAUACUGUUUCAGCUAUCAACUUUAUUCUUGAAUUUAAAACAAUAGUUGUCCCAUGCUCCAAGCAUGUACACUAUGUUUUCUUAAACACUAGUCAUGCCACACACCAAGUAUGCAUACUAUGUUUGUCUAUGAUCUUUACUUUGUGAACUAGAUCAAUUGAACAUAACUUCAAUGAUUCUCUUUUCACACUCCCAAAUCCUUACUGCAAAUGCAAGAAUUCCAAAUUCAUGCCAUUUACUGAAAUCUGUUAGAUUCUAAACUUAUAUGCAUUGAUCCUCUUGUAAUGAUUAUGCACAAAGUCACAAAGACUUGGCAACAAUCAUUACAGAGUAUUCCAAAGGAGAUCAACUCCUUGGAAAUAUCCUUCUUGCAUUAAGUUUCCUUAAUCUUACACAGAUUGAAAAUUCUAACUUUGAAACAUUUCCAGAUUCCAUUUUGACUAUCACUUCUGAACAAGAGUUGCCUCCUUACAGAUUAUGUCAAUAUGGUCCUUCCAGAAUUAUCACUAUACUUCCAAUUGUCCUUGAGUAACCAAUCUUUGGUAAACCUUAGAUUGUCCUCGACAAUUGUUUAAUCCUUUUAGUCAUAUCCAGUUCUAAACCUUUUCCCUUCUUAAUGCCCCAGGCAUUUGGAAAAUUUUAGAACGGAUGAAUAUAGCACAUGUAAUCGAUCCUAUAUCCGAAGCAUAUGGGACACGAUUCAUGAUGUCUUACAUAAAGACUAAACCAGUCUUUUGCUAUAAUAUUUCCAUUUCAAUUUGCCAAGUUCUCAUAAUUCAGAUUAUGAAAAGGGAUGCCGUAAUCAUAAUCGAAUUUUAGAACGCAAAUAAUGGACCCAUAUACAGAAUUUCCUUAUGUUGAGCCAUUCCAACAUGAAAUUCAUAUAUAUCCUUGACUAAAUGAUUAAAACCUCACGAUCUAAGCUUAUAGAUUUGAGAUGAAGCAUAAUUUCCUCUCCCUUAAUUAUAGCAAAACAACUUUUUCCCAAUUGAAACUUUUGUUUUCUAUAAUUAACAUUGCUAACUUGCAAUACUUAUCAUAAUUAUCAUGCUCCCACUAACAUGAUGAUUAUUAGCAUAACACUUAUGCUCCCACUAGCUUUGACAUGUACUCAGAAAUCAGCUGGACAGUCUGAAAUUUAGAUUCAUACACCCUUUCCGUAGAUAGCUCACCUGUGUGUCUAAGCAAUUUCAAGAACCAUGAAAAGGGAUACCGUAAUCAUGGUCUCAAUUGCUUAGGCAUUUGCCAUUUCUCACAAGUCCAUGUUAGUGUGCCGGUUAACCACACGCGCUCCACUAACGACUUUUGAAAAUGCAAAUAACACAAUUGAUAUCUUCGUAAAAUCUACUUAGUGAAAGCGUUUCCUCACCAUCAUUUUCAUGAAUCGGAGAGAAACCUUAUGACACUUAGAUUUAUAUGGUGUAUGAGUUCCUACCCAUAUGAAUUUGUCAAACCAUAAUCACAAGACAAAGAUAAUGACAAAUCCAAAACCAUAUGGAUUGAACUCAAUCUUAACUUCUUGCCACCUGGCAGCUCAAGGGCCUGCCAUUGCUUCCAAGUUGUUGUGCAACAAAUUGAGAACUCUAAGAACUCAUAUGCAAAACCAACUUUAACUGGAAUGGGCACAGAAUAUGUCAACACGAUAGGUUAUGAACCUCAAGUCGUGUGCUAGUGAAGAACUUUAGGUUUUAUUCUUGAUUAUUUCUUGAGACUUUCAAGACCUUUAAGACUCCCACUGUCCUCUUGACAUAUAAGACUCCCUUGUCAAACAUCCAAGAGAUAGUGCGGAUUCUAAUCAAGAAAAACACUUUACCCAAUUGGCCUAAGUUGGUCUUUGUUUUAUCCAAAACAUCACAACUUACCAAUUUCAAAUGUACAAGAGUAGAAAACUUUUACUCUUACAUUUGACAAGUGUUUUAAACCUUCUUUAAGACAUGUCACUCAAAUGACAAUCUUGGAGUAUGACUCUAAGACUUGUAUUGGAACGAAGUAUGACUCAUCUUCUUGAUUUAACCAUUUCAACAAUUCAAGUUCCUCUUCUUAGUCAUAAGAAUGCACUAAGAUUUCCUUAGAGAACUAAUUUUGAUAUGGUUUCUUAAUCAUUAAGAUGAUCACAAAACUGAUACUAAAGUACUCUCCCAUCUUUUCAGAUUUGAGAAACUUUUAUCCUUCUGCCUUAUUUGAUUCUUCUUAUCGAUCUUUAGUGGUGGACUUAAUCAGUGCACAAGAAUGUGUACUCGAUCCCUAAGUCCUUUACUUGACUCACACAUCCAUGUGAACAAGUAAUUAGUCUUAAUUUUCCAAAACUUGAAAGUUCUCAUUCAUCAUGCUAUACAACUUGCAUGAUUCCAAGUUCCGGUCCAAUUGAAACUUGGGUGAUGAGAAUCUUUCCUUAUUUGGUAAAUUUAGACAUUACCACAAAUGAAAGAAUCAAUUUCAUACUUCCACUCUUGCUACUAAUGGAAUCUUAUAAGCAACAAAAAUUUCCACAGAUGCCAUUGUAAGGAUAUUUUAAAAUAAAUAAAAUCAAAAAUUUCCUUUUAUUUUAAAACUUUGCGGAAAAACUAUCCUUACAAUCCAUAUGAAAACUUGUUGUUAUCUAUUCCUAAGCAAUAUCUCAUAACUCCUAAGAAGUAGCUCAAGAAUCCGAUUUUUCAAACUAUGCGAUAGAAAUCCAUCUAUGCGAUCAGAUUCAGCAUAUUCUUCCUUUAAGUUUCUUCACUUUCCUUUGAUUCUUAAACCAUCACCAUGCGACCCGGUCACAUCAUGUAUCAAGAAUCUCAGAAUAGAAACUUAACAGAGUUAGAUAGUGGAUUUUACCUGAAGUAGAGUCAAACUUAUUGACUUUAACAUCCUUAGGUAAAUUUGGCAGCUUCGCAACCAAUGCCCUUUCUUUGGCAAUACAAACAUAUGGACCCUUUGAUAAUGGUACACAGGACUAUCACAGACUUAGCUUUUCUCUUUACCAUUUGGUCAACCGAGUUGACUAUAGCCGAUCCCUUUCCAUUGGGAAGAGAAUGCUUUACUGGAUAUCCAAUGUCAUCAUUGUCAAUGUCCAUAAAGUUUUAGGAAGUUGAUCUUAGCAAAUAGAUAAGAUCAUUAAGGGUCUUGUCAUAGUCUGUUUCAUAGGUGUCCCAAAGGAACUCACUAUGUGACUUAGAAAGUGGUUGAACCACCAACUUUCUCAAGACUUUGACACCCAACUCUCCCGGCUUGUCAAUAUGUGACUACAUCUCCAAGAUGUGACCACACCUAGACCUUGCCUUGCCAAUAGGGCCUGAGUGACCUUAAACUUUUCAAGAACUUGUGGGUUAGGGAGAAUAAUUUGAAGAGGUGAAGAAGUAUGAUAUCCAUGGGACAUCAUCUUCAUUAGGAAACCUUGUUUCAAGAGAUUUGGGAAGAUCAUAGGUGUCUAAACCAGACAUCUUUUGGGAGAUAUUCAAGAUAGUUGAUUUAAAGUCCUUAAUAUGACACCCAAUAUGAAAUAUUAAGGCUAGGACCCAACAAACUAUUUUAUAACUUAGAAGAGGUAUGCC